rnacentral:lncRNA from 1 species
GGUGCCAGUUCAACCAGCAUGACUCUAAUCCAAUUCAAUGACUUGGUGAAGUUAGUGAAAAAAUUAUGGUUUACUAAUUGAUUUCUUCUUUUCUCAAUUCAUAAAUUAAAUUCUCUAAAUUAUUAGAUCCAUAAAAUGAGUUGGUUAUGGUGAUAACUAGAUCAUAGCCUCCCAUUAAGUUUGGUGAUGAUGGGUCCAUUAGUAUGAUGACCAUUGGAGGCCCAAAGGUCUGGUGCUCAUCUGCU